GAGGCUCCCCGGGACCCGGAGGCGGCAUGGCCCGGAGCGGAACCCCAUCCCGGACGGCGGCGGGGCGGAAGAGUACUCCCGCUCCAGAAAUUGUGCAAGGCUGAGACACCUGAAUUUUUCCUCGAAUACAUUAAAGGAAAUUCUGUGCCGUAACCUCUCAGACCUGCUCCCAGGGAAUUUCUUUUGAGUGUUCAUAUCUUAAAACCUUAUGUAACCUGACACAAUUAUCUGAAAAAGCUCAGAAUCCAAAAGGACAGUGUUCUAAGUUGUUCUGCCAAGAAAAGGCCUGAAUCAGGGGUGAUAGAAGCUGUUAAGGAAGCAAGUUUUGGAAUUAAUACGAACAAUCAAAUUUGCUUUAAUUCUGUUUUUAGGAGACAUGUUUCUAAUCUAGAA